rnacentral:rRNA from 1 species
CUCAGAACGGUCGGAAAUCGUUCGCUGAGUGCAAUGGCAUAAGCCCGCCUGACUGCGAGACUGACAAGUCGAGCAGAGUCGAAAGACGGCCAUAGUGAUCCGGUGGUCCCAAGUGGGAGGGCCAUCGCUCAACGGAUAAAAGGUACGCCGGGGAUAACAGGCUGAUACUGCCCAAGAGUCCAUAUCGACGGCAGUGUUUGGCACCUCGAUGUCGGCUCAUCUCAUCCUGGG